CUUAAAAAAAAAAAAAUUUUUUUUUGAGGAACCAAACCUCCAUACUGUUUCUAUAGAAACUGCAUGAGGCUCUUCAGGAUAUUCUUAAUAACAGCCUAUUAAUUUACCAAUAUAUCACAAAGGAUGUACAGUGUAUCACUGAAUUCCCGGUUCUCGUCUCAGAAUCACCCAGUGAAUCUGUCACAUUCUGAUUUAAUUACCUGGGAUGAAGCUGGGGCAUUGCUAUGUUGCAAAAGUUCUCCAAUUGAGUCUAAUGUGCAGCUGGAGUGGAGAACCAUGAACCACUUCUAGCUGUUGAGAGGCUCCUCAAUUUGAGUAAGAAAUAAAGAAAAUGUGUAUUUAUUAAGACAGCACUCAGGCAGUUUCAGCAAGGUGGACGGGGAGUGGAGCAUGAGCAUGGGAAACCUUCCAGCAUCGAAUCAACUGUGUAGAAGCUGAGAAGGAUGCACCUGCAGGUGGGAGCUGGGAGGUAGGCCCUGGGUCCCGGUGACUCUUUGGUGUAGUUUACAGCUGAGCAGUUCCCGCCUGCUUCUCAGCAAAGGUCCCUUAUGCAUCUCUCAUGUGCUUCUCCCACUCAUCUUGCAAGACUCUGAAGUGUGAGUGCCAUCUUUUCAGUUAAGUGAGCAGUAUAUGGAAACUUUCUCAUGGGAAAGAACCGCAUGUGGCGCACCCUGGACGUCACUCCUUGGCUGGUCCUGGAUGCCCACCUCACCCCACCACACUCAUGCCCCUCCCAGGAGGCGCCUUCUUGACAGUGUGGUCCUUCCUGGCUGACAAUGACUUGGGUUUUCGUCGCCUCAGUUCCUGGCAGAGCUGUUCCCGUGCCCCGGUGCCACUGUGUGCACCUGCUUUAAUCACCUCCCACUGCAGCUUCUGUCCUGCCACCCCUUGGGCUUCCUGAUCUUUCCUUCAUGCUUGCCCUUGAGCAUCUUAUGGCCUCUUUGAGCUUUCACUGUUUCUGCAAUGGGGCCAUUUCCAUAUCGACAGCUCUAGUGUUUCUGUCACUACUGGAUUCUCCCAUUCGCUUUGUGAUGCAUCAUGGCUCUAGCUACACAUCCUGCCUCUGUCUCAGACUCCAUGUGUCUGUGACCAGCCCCCUGACUCCCUCCAGCCACUCACCCUGGCUGUCCCCACCAUCAGGGGCCUGGCCACACCAUCUGCUGCUGAGCUGCAGGACAUGGCUGAUCAGAAAUGGAGCACAACAGUCAGGGGCAGAGCCCAUUGACCAAAGCCUUGAAUAUACCAUGAUUUCCAAGAUGUGUCUUGCUCUUCUGUCUUCAGAGUACAAAAAGCAUCGUAUCUAUGAAGAAAGUGGCUGAAAUGCUCUGGCUAGAGGAUGGUCUCCACUGUGUAAAAGCUUCCCAGGCAGCUGCAGUCUUAAAACAAUUGUCUGCAGAAUGCUCAACGUGACCCUCUGCUUCCUGGAGUUUCUUCAGGUACAAAUACCUCAGACCCCAGAAAGUGUGUUCCCAAACCGCUUCUCAUGAACCAUUGAAUAUUCAAAAGAGAGCUAAAUUUCAAGCCUACUAUAUAAAAGCGUAUCCCUGUAACACAUGUGCCAUAAUACAUAACUUCUACUUUUGUCAGUCCUUACCAUCUACCUCUCUGAAUUUUCAUGAAUUUCAAUUUCACAAGGGUAAUUGUUUUACAUAUACAGGCAGUAGCAUACAAUAAAAUACUCAGUAUGUGUGCUGA
rnacentral:lncRNA from 1 species